ensembl:lncRNA
UGCAGCAUGCCCUGUCCUGCGUGGGAAGAUGUUGCUUCCGUCUGCUACUGAGCUCCAGAGAGCCUUCCUUAUACUGCUUGGGACUGACUCGAGGCAGCAGGCACCAAGCAUUGGGACCUCUUGGCAGGCUUUUCUUAACAGUACAGAUCUUUUUCCCUUACAAGUCUGGCACCUGAAUUACCAGCAAGCAAUCUCCAGCUGUUCCCCAGGGGACUGCUCUUUGUGCACUGCUGUGCAUGCAGCACACUGGAGCAGGGCCAAGCAUCCAUCCAGCUCCUCAGCUUCUCCUCAUGCUUUGAGCACUUCAGCCAUACAGGGGGCUGGUGCCUGCCUGACACAAUUAGCUAUAGGGGAUGAGCUUCUGAACGUGCACAAAAACCCCAGUUGCUUCCCCCAGCCAUAUGUCAAAGAUGAUAACCACAGCAGGGCAGCUCUGAAUCAACAGAUGCUUUGUUUCUCCGGGCUUUGGGAACCCUGUCUGCAGAGUGGAACUGCUGGAAGGCAGAGGGGAAUCGAGCCGCUAUCAAGGGUAAUGCUGUGGCUUUGCAAGACAGAAAGAAAAACCUUCAGAAAGCAGAAUGGUGGGGCCUUACUCCAGUGCAUGAUUUGCUAGAGGAAGUAAUCCACUUUGGAUCAGCUGGUGGGAAGAAG